rnacentral:lncRNA from 1 species
CUGGCCGGGGUCGGAGACGCGGAAGACGUGGGUGAAGGAGGAGGAGCGGGCGACCUCGACGCCGGCGGGGUUGGCGGGCGGGCGGAGGCGGUCGAAGGAGUAGGCGAGCUUGACGAGGUCGGACUGGAGCGCGCAGGUGACCUCGAGGUCCUGGAGCUGGCGGAGGACGUGGACCCAGGCGUCGAGGGUGGAGAGGAAGAAGCCGAACUGGGAGAGGUCGAGGUCCUGGGAGGCCGGCGGGUCGAAGGCGAUGCCGGAGACGUUGAGCUCGAGCACGCCGUGGCGGGAGAAGCCGAACUCGUCGAGCGGGAUGAUGGUGCGCGGGUCGCCGCGGAUCGCCGUCGAGCGGAUCUCGGCCGCCGCCGGG